rnacentral:snRNA from 1 species
UCAUGAACAACGCAAAUAAAUCACGUCCAUUCGAGGUUUGAUAUUUUUGAUUCGAGGCGCGCAUUCGUGCUGUGCCCAGGAGAAUCGAAAUCACACUCGAAGAGAACGGAGAGAAAAAUAAUGCGAACAAUCUUGGGUGCGGUGCUUCCCUGCUCUAGGGCAGGUGGGAAGGGUCGCAAUGAUUGAACGUACAU